UACUCACUUUCUAGGCAAUUUACACUACACACCACAUGUACCAUAUGGUUAUUCUUUGAAAUUGGCAUCUAAGGUAGAUACACUCAAAAAGACACAUGGCAAAACAAAAGGGGGAAGGGAAAUAAAAGGACUGAUAAAAAAAAGAGCAAAAAGAGGGGGGAAGGGAUCUGGACAAAAAGAGAAAGAGGGGAAACGAGAGAAAAAUGGAAGGGAGGAAAAGGUUAGAGUGACGAAAAACAGAGCAUUAGCUCUGAAAAAAACAGGGUCCGAAAAUAGGGAAAGGCAGCCUUCUUCUUCUUCCUUGCCACAUUCAUCUUCUUCCUCAAAAUCCCCAUUAAACAUACCCAAUAGUGCCUCAAAAAUCAGCGUCAAAACACCUUGAACUCAGUCAAAAAUAACUCCAAAAUCAUCGAAAAAACGUAGUUGAAACACAUUGUUUCUUCACCCAAAAGCUAAUUUUUCUCCAUAGCCCUUCAAUCCCAUAAACUUCAGCUAAAUACUAGUCCAAAAUCUGGCCAAAAAUGCAGCCGAAACUCAGCCAAAAACAGCCACGAAAAUCUGCUCGAAAACAGUCCAAAAGAGCUCUAAAAACCAUAAAAUACCAGCUCAAAACAUCUUGAAAAUGCAGCUUAAAACCAGCCCCGAAAUCCAGCUCAAAGCAGCUCCAAAAUACCAACCAAAAUCACCAUGAAACAACUCCUCAAACCCAGCAAAAUCAGUCACGAAAAAGUGGAGUGCGAGGUUGCCGUCGAGGUCGCGAUCCAGUUCCAGUCAAGGCGCUCGUCCGCUGGUCCUGUGGCAUUUUAACUUGAAGAGUUUGAAACCUUCGCUUUCAUUGUACCCUCAUCACUAAUAAAGGAUGAGGCGCGGAUAUCUCGCUCUCUUUAAGGAGAUUCAAGCCCACUGCAGUAGCAUCUUCACCGAUCCAACAAUAAUACUCUUGACUUGUCCCCUCCAGGAUACAACAGCUCGACAACGUCGUAUGACUCGAACAAACUCUGGACAAGUUGUUGAGUCCAAAACUCCACCGAAAUGAUCACAUUCCUUCAACAAAAAUAAUAUUCUCUCUUGUAGAGAAUAAGUUGGAAACUUAGAUUUUUCUCUUUCUCUUAACGCUCUUUUUCACUACACCAAUUUCAUAUUUUUUUCAUGCACACUAAAAUAUUUUUCUCAUUCACAACACAAAGAAGAAACACCACAAUUUAUAGGUGUAGAAUCUCUUCCUUGAAAUAAAUAAUAAGAUAGUGGGAUAAUAAAAUAGUAGAACACGGGUUGAUGGUUACAAAAUUUAAUCUUUAGUGGGUAAUUAGUGGUAGAUCAUGGCAUUAGUGGUUUCAAGAGUUACACCAAAACAAUGAUCACUUUCUUGCCAAUUUAUAACCACUAUCUCACAAGAAAUAAUGCACUUUAAUAAUAUAAUUUUAAUAUUAAAAUGCAUUAACACCAACACUUUGCUUACAUUGUUGGUGUGGCUUUUAAUUUUUAUUAUGAUCGUGAAUGAGUGAUUAUGCCUCAUGUUUGAUUUGCCAGAUGGAUCUGAUUCCUUAGGCUUUUUUUUGUUGGGUUUCAUUUGGUUGUUAAAUUUUCUUGCUGAUUUGUUACUUGAUUAACAAAGUAUUAAAUGUGUUUUGUAGCAUAUCAUCUUGGUUCUGUUUAUUUGUUAAGAUUUGUAAUUUAAGACUAAGUGCGCUAUUUGGUUUAUUGAAUGCAAA